rnacentral:rRNA from 1 species
GCGCAGCAGGCGAGAAUCCUUUACAAUGCGCGAAAGCGUGAUAAGGGAACUCCAAGUGGUUCCUUACGGGACCUUUUGUGAAGUUUAAAAACUUCGCGAAUAAGAGCUGGGCAAGACCCGUGCCAGCCAUCCGCGCGACGCUCGUUAAGAACUGGCGCGUGGACUGGAAGCCGCGGUAAAACGGGCAGCUCUAGUGGUGUUCGCUAAUAUUGGGGCUUAAAGCGUUCGUAGCCGGCCCGGAAAGUCUUUGGUGAAAGCUUGCGAUUUAAUCGUGAGAAGUGCCAGGGAUACUCCCGGGCUUGGGAGCGGGAAGGGUUGGAGGUACUCCCGGGGUAGGAGUAAAAUCCUGUAAUCCCGGGAAGACCAACAGUGGCGAAUCGUUGCGAGGCGACGUCUGCGCGUCGCAACGAGC